GAAAUGCGAUAAGUAAUGUGAAUUGCAGAAUUCAGUGAAUCAUCGAAUCUUUGAACGCACAUUGCGCCCUGUGGUAUUCCGCAGGGCAUGCCUGUUCGAGCGUCAGUACAACACUCAAGCCUAGCUUGGUCUUGGGCCCCGCCGGAGACGGCGGGCCUUAAAAUCAGUGGCGGCGCCCGUCGGGCCCUCAGCGUAGUAAUCAUCCUCGCUUCAGGGACCCGGUGGACGCUGGCCAGCAACCUCAACUUUCUCAGUUUGACCUCGGAUCAGGUAGGGAUACCCGCUGAACUUAA
rnacentral:misc_RNA from 1 species